rnacentral:lncRNA from 1 species
UUUCCUUCUAUUUUCCCCAAAUAGCUCUUAAAAUAAGGUGAAAUAUAUAUAAAUAUACAAAUAACACCCAUAAUUUGUUUAAAUCUAAAAUGCCUAGCAUGGUGCCAGAAUUUUAGCAGUUAAUAACUACUGCUUGAUUUAUAGGGAGACACAUUACACCUUAUAGAGAAGCAGUUUCUGAGAGUCAGAGCUGGCUGGAGAAGAACUGCAUGGUCCCUGUCACUGGAGAUAUUGGGGAAGACUUUUUAGAAGAAAGGACAUCUCAACACAAGGCUGAGAAGUAGUUCACCAAGGCAAGUAAAUGAAAAGCACACAUCAGGCUGAGCAUGUAUGAAAUCCAGAUGCAGACACAAGGACCUCUUAAGACCUAAGCUCCUUGGAUUCCAGACCUCCAGACCAAUGGUGGAUCUGCUCAUCAAGUCCCAACUCAGCCACUCAUCUGUCAGCUUGU